CCUUACCCUCUCCACCUGAAGCAGAACAUGAGUAAAAGCCUCACUCUUAAGAAUCCUGGAAGAGUAGCAUACGAUUCAGGCGGGAUAAAGAUGUUUUGGGAGAAAAAAAUCGAGCAUCACGCAAGACACCUGCAGAACGAGGACAUCAGGGUUCGCAGAAGCGCUCUGAACAAGCUCCGCGUGGGAUGGGCUGAGCAGCUGGAGGGGAGGAACAAGAUGCUGCAGGGCCCAGGGAGAUGCCCAGACAGGGUCCCGGAGGCCACUGAGUCCCUCCACACCAAGGACAAGAAGGCGGCCUGAGGGCCCACGAGCUCCAGACUCUGCAUGAGCUUCCGGAGGGUCAUGGAGAAGGAACACCACGCGUGGGGUCCAAGCAUCCACGCC
rnacentral:lncRNA from 1 species